CGGGAUGAGGCCCCGGGGAGGGGCGGCCGGUUCGGGGCCGGCAGACGGUGGGUUCGACUCCUACCAUCCCGA
rnacentral:tRNA from 2 species